AUUGAACGCUAGCGGGAUGCCUUACACAUGCAAGUCGAACGGAGUGGCGAACGGGUGAGUAAUGUAUCGGAACCUGCCUAGUAGCGGGGGAUAACUACGCGAAAGCGUAGCUAAUACCGCAUACUAUUGGAGCGGCCGAUGUCGGAUUAGCUAGUUGGUGGGGUAACGGCUCACCAAGGCGACGAUCCGUACCUGGUUUGAGAGGAUGAUCAGCCACACUGGGACUGAGACACGGCCCAGACUCCUACGGGAGGCAGCAGUGGGGAAUCUUGGACAAUGGGGGAAACCCUGAGCCAGCCAUCCCGCGUGUGCGAUGAAGGCAUGCGGAUUGUAAAGCACUUUUGGCAGGGAAGCGGUACCUGCAGAAUAAGCACCGGCUAACUACGUGCCAGCAGCCGCGGUAAUAC
rnacentral:rRNA from 1 species